CCCCCAGACUCCUACGGGAGGCAGCAGUGGGGGAUAUUGCACAAUGGGGGGAACCCUGAUGCAGCGACGCCGCGUGGGUGAGGAAGUACCCCGGUAUGUAAAGCCCUUUCGGCAGGGAAGAAAAUGACGGUACCUGGCGAAGAAGCCCCGGCUAACUACGUGCCAGCAGCCGCGGUAAUACGUAGGGGGCAAGCGUUAUCCGGAUUUACUGGGUGUAAAGGGAGCGUAGACGGUUAUGUAAGUCUGGAGUGAAAGCCCGGGGCCCAACCCCGGGACUGCUUUGGAAACUGUGUAACUGGAGUACAGGAGGGGCAGGCGGAAUUCCUGGUGUAGCGGUGAAAUGCGUAGAUAUCAGGAGGAACACCGGCGGCGAAGGCGGCCGGCUGGACUGAAACUGACGUUGAGGCUCGAAAGCGUGGGGAGCAAACAGGAUUAGAUACCCUAGUAGUAA
rnacentral:rRNA from 1 species